rnacentral:rRNA from 1 species
AUGACGUCAAGUCCUCAUGGCCCUUAUAGGUGGGGCUACACACGUCAUACAAUGGCUGGUACAAAGGGUUGCCAACCCGCAGGGGGAGCCAAUCCCAUAAAGCCAGUCGUAGUCCGGAUCGUAGUCUGCAACUCGACUACGUGAAGUCGGAAUCGCUAGUAAUCGUGGAUCAGAAUGUCACGGUGAAUACGGUUCCCGGGUCUU